UACGUAGGUGGCUAGCGUUGUCCGGAUUUACUGGGCGUAAAGGGCGCGUAGGCGGCCAGCACAAGUCAGUUGUGAAAUCUCCGAGCUUAACUCGGAAAGGUCAACUGAUACUGUGCGGCUAGAGUGCGGAAGGGGCAACUGGAAUUCUUGGUGUAGCGGUGAAAUGCGUAGAUAUCAAGAGGAACACCUGCGGCGAAGGCGGGUUGCUGGGCCGACACUGACGCUGAGGCGCGAAAGCCAGGGGAGCGAACGGG
rnacentral:rRNA from 1 species